GCAUGGGCUAUGCUGGAGGAGAGCGGCAAGCGGCAGAGGCGGUGAAACUGCCGAGAGUGUUGAAGCAAUGGGAUAGCGAAGGGAUAGCGUAAGACAUCCGCACCACGCUCCUCUCUUCAAGGACUACUCUACACAAAAUAUUUAGCAUUUCUAUCCAGUGGUGCAAAAGAGUUAAAAGGACGCAAGGAACUGGUGAUGGCUCCGAGCCUAUGAGGACGGCUCUAUUUCGGACACAUAUGUCGGUGCUGAUACUGUAAGCCCAUGGAUGUGGAACAAAAAACAGGACCCACAGGGAAACUCACCCAUUGGUCGUAUCCAAC
rnacentral:lncRNA from 1 species